UUCCGAGGACUGAUACUGUUUCUCUUCUUUUACUAAAUCAUUUUCUCUUCUCAAUCUUCUUCUUUUUUGUUUCAAUUUCGUCAUAUCUCUGACCAAAUCGCUGAGAUUAUCAAUCCAAUCAAGCUUAAGGAUGAUGAUGAUAAUUGGAAGUCUCUGAUUCUUCCAUUACAUCAAGAUGUUUGGUUUCUCUCGAUGGGAUCUAAUCAUUUUUUCUACUCAAUUUGGGUAUCAGAAGAAAUCAAUAAUAACAGUGCCGAUCUCCAUAUCGGAUUUGUGGUGGCGGCGGUGCUGUCGGAGGUGGUGGUGAGAGUUCGGUUGAAAAUGGUGGUGCUAUCAUCUAACUGCAGAGCCAGAGAUGAUGAGAUUCGUUGUUUGAAACGGAAUUCAGAUCUGAUCGAAACGGUGGCGGUUAACGGUUUUUGAUACAAUGGUUCGGUUAGGGGGUGAAGUGCGAUGUUUUGUUUAUUGAAGGGGGGAGUUGCAAAUGUGAAAUUUGAGUGGGGGUGCAAUCCGAAAAAAACAUAAUUCAGUACUGCGGUAUCUUUUUCCACGUCAUUUUUUAUGAUGUCCAGUCCUCCAUCCAGUCACCAGGUACGCCCUCUGCCAUGUCAUCCAUCAAUCCCACGUGUUACUAUGCCAUGUCACCAUCUAUUAAACCGUUUUAAAGCUCGUCUUUGUAGUUAAAACAGAGGGAAUUUCUUGAGUUGUUUUUCACAAAUUCUAAUGAAAACUUUUAGUCCUUGUGAUCAAGAAAUGCUUCUUACUCAAAAAAAAAAUCAAUCUUUUAUUCAUUACUACUCGAGCCUUUUCUCCCUUUUCCAUACUUUGUUCUUCAAACAAGAUUCUUGCUGGAAACGAGAUUUAAAGAAGGAAUUUCUCAAGAUUGUUGCUGGAUAAAGAUAAUUGAAUUAGGAUUUUAGUAAGAUUCUUACUGGAAACGAGAUUUGAACAAGGAGUUGCUCAAGAUUUCAUUGGUAAAGCGAGAGUUCCAGUUGGAGUUGCUCAAGAUUUCUGCUGCGAGUGUUGAAUCAUCUUCUGCUUCUGUCACUUUCACCGUUCUUCAAACCAGAAUAUCAAGAAAUUGGUAUGCGCAGUUCUUCCCUCUUGGUACAGCUAAUGACUAUGAAGCCAUUUAUGAGGUUUUUGGCGCGAGAAAGUUUCUGAGUUUAGUGGACAGAGCUGACCCAGAACAGAACAUAGCUUCCCAGUCACUAAUCAGACAGGCAAGAGCCAGGGUGGCAGAUCGUGUAAAUGGACUUGGUGGAUCUGUUAUCCAACUCAGAGGCCAGGUGAACCAGCUUCGAGCUGAGCUGAUUUCGGUAGGAAUUCCCAUCCUAGGAGAUGUUGUUCCACAAGAACCACCAGAGGAAGAACAAGCAGUUUAGAUCGGGAGAUCUUGUGGGGCUUGCAGGCAUCUGAAGGAACCGUGUCCAUCAACCUGUCCUCUACGAGCAGUAUUCACUCCUCAAAGGAGUGAUGACCUUCUUGAUGUUAAUGCUUUUUGCGGCGUUAGGAAAUUUGUCAGUAACAUGAAAGAGGUCCACCCUCAAGGCAGGCGAUUGGCAGCUGAGUGCAUGGUUCUUGAGGCUAGGGCUUGGAAUAAUUUACCAGCCAGAGGAAUCGAAGGACUAGUUAAUAUCCUAAAUCUGCAAGUGAGUCUUCUUACAAGGAAACUGAACUUGGCCUAGGGGUUUCCUAAGAAGAGGUUUGAGUUGCAAUAAAUCUGUUUUAGCAUUAUGGAAAGGGAGAGAUGAUGUCUGUCGCACACAAAAAACUGCAUCAAGUGGAAUUAAGUUGUCUAGAAGCACACAUUUCAGUUUUUGAUUCAAAUUUUAUCUGAAAGUCAAAUUUUAUUUUCAUCUCGUAGUUCCAAUGGUACUUCAGGUUCAUCAACUGAUGCUUCUGUUAUAUUGACUAGUUAAUAUCCUAAAUCUGCAAGUGCAGAGUCUUGUUACAAGGAAACUUAACUUCUGCUUCUACUCAUACUAGUCUGUCGACAAAGCUGCUGCGAGACUCUUUUCUUCUCUUGUUCUUCUGCAGCUUGAAGAUGAUGUGAUUGUCAGUAACUGGUUUGAAAUGUGUGUUUGUUUCUAGUUGUUCAUAGUUCAAGCUUUACUAUGUUUUUAAAGGCUUGAGGGGUAUGUAAGAGUAUACUGUCAAUGUUAGUAAAUACAUCGUGUCAGGUAUUUGUAUACCAUUAUAUGAAUUUCAAUUUUAAGUA